rnacentral:rRNA from 1 species
GACGAACGCUGGCGGCGUGCUUAACACAUGCAAGUCGAACGGAAAGGCCCUGCUUUUGUGGGGUGCUCGAGUGGCGAACGGGUGAGUAACACGUGAGUAACCUGCCCUUGACUUUGGGAUAACUUCAGGAAACUGGUGCUAAUACCGGAUAGGAGCUCCUGCUGCAUGGUGGGGGUUGGAAAGUUUCGGCGGUUGGGGAUGGACUCGCGGCUUAUCAGCUUGUUGGUGGGGUAGUGGCUUACCAAGGCUUUGACGGGUAGCCGGCCUGAGAGGGUGACCGGCCACAUUGGGACUGAGAUACGGACCAGACUCCUACGGGAGGCAGCAGUGGGGAAUAUUGCACAAUGGGCGGAAGCCUGAUGCAGCAACGCCGCGUGCGGGAUGACGGCCUUCGGGUUGUAAACCGCUUUCGCCUGUGACGAAGCGUGAGUGACGGUAAUGGGUAAAGAAGCACCGGCUAACUACGUG